rnacentral:rRNA from 1 species
GAUGAACGCUAGCGGCAGGCCUAACACAUGCAAGUCGAGGGAGAAGCCCUUCGGGGCAGAAACCGGCGCACGGGUGCGUAACGCGUAUGCAACCUACCUUUCACAGGGGGAUAGCCCGAAGAAAUUUGGAUUAAUACCCCAUAAUAUUAUUGGGUGGCAUCAUUUGAUAAUUAAAAUUACGAUGGUGAAAGAUGGGCAUGCGUCCUAUUAGCUAGUUGGAGUGGUAACGGCACCCCAAGGCUACGAUAGGUAGGGGUCCUGAGAGGGAGAUCCCCCACACUGGUACUGAGACAGGGACCAGACUCCUACGGGAGGCAGCAGUGAGGAAUAUUGGUCAAUGGUCGGAAGACUGAACCAGCCAUGCCGCGUGCAGGAAGAAUGCCUUAUGGGUUGUAAACUGCUUUUAUAUGGGAAGAAUAAGGAGUACGUGUACUUUGAUGACG